UGUUUCUUUUUAAUUAUUUUUAUUUUAUAUAUAAAUAUAUUUUUCUUAGAUAUAUAUAAUUAGUUCAUAUGUUCGCAUGCCAUUGAUACAGAAAACCAACAACUACGACUUUUAUCUACUUUUCCUCUGCUCCAUUUUUUUAUUGCGGAAGAAAAACAAAUUGCUGGAGUUUGAUCACUCUAUGAGACUUCAAAUUUCACAAAAGCAACUAACAAGUUCCCGUUGUUUUGAUCUUUUUGCUCUUUCUCAUGACAGGUCAAAUUCUUCAAUUAUACUCCAUUCUCCUGUCAUGUCGUCUAUAUAAUAUUAAAGAGUGGA
rnacentral:misc_RNA from 1 species